CCUACGGGAGACAGCAGUGGGGAAUAUUGCACAAUGGGCGAAACCCUGAUGCAGCAACGCCGCGUGAGUGAAGAAGGCUUUCGGUAUGUAAAGCUCUAUCAGCAGGGAAGAAAAUGACGGUACCUGUGUAAGAAGACACGGCGAACUACGUGCCAGCAGCCGCGGUAAUACGUAGGGGGCAAGCGUUAUCCGGAUUUACUGGGUGUAAAGGGAGCGUAGACGGGGAUGCAAGUCUGAAGUGAAAGCCCGGGGCUCAACCCCGGGACUGCUUUGGAAACUGUAUGGCUGGAGUGCUGGAGAGGUAAGCGGAAUUCCUAGUGUAGCGGUGAAAUGCGUAGAUAUUAGGAAGAACACCAGUGGCGAAGGCGGCUUGCUGGACAGUAACUGACGUUGAGGCUCGAAAGCGUGGGGAGCAAACAGGAUUAGAUACCCCAGUAGUC
rnacentral:rRNA from 1 species